UAAUUUUUAAAUAUUUCAAAAAAAUAAACCAAUUUUUACGAAGAGCCAUCUAUGUUCUGCCUAAAUGAUGUCCGGUAACGAUUGCAUCCAACUAAUGCCGUAUUUGGUUAUAAUUUGCGUCAUGGGUUUAUAAGUCCUAAAACGUUCCUAACUUAUUGAAGAUAAAAAAUUAUUUUCAAAUAUUCUCAAAAAAAAAAAAGGUUUUUCAUUCAACUUCCCCAAGAUCCCCAAAUUGAUGUUAAAUGUCUUAGCGGCAAAUGUAAGUGUAAUAUAAAACGUACUCCAUAGAAAAAUAUGUAUGUAGUAUUAAAAAUUCAAAAAGGAAAGUUUGAACAUUUUUUAAAGAAUAUUUCACUGAGGCAAAUUUACGGUCAAAGACUACAGAAAUAAUAAAUUUCGACGAGAAUCAACGCUGCUUUCUAUUGACUGAUAGAUUUCGACCCUUAAUCUCUAUGAACUUCGUGCCAAAAAGCUUCAAUACUGUGUUGUGAAUUAUGGAAAUCCAAGAAAAAUCGAAAUGUUUCAUUUGCAAAAUAAUUUUAAAAUAUAAAUUAGUCAGGGUGAUAAUUUCGGGUGUUUUAAAUUUGG